UACGAAGGGGGCUAGCGUUGCUCGGAAUCACUGGGCGUAAAGGGUGCGUAGGCGGGUCUUUAAGUCAGGGGUGAAAUCCUGGAGCUCAACUCCAGAACUGCCUUUGAUACUGAAGAUCUUGAGUCCGGGAGAGGUGAGUGGAACUGCGAGUGUAGAGGUGAAAUUCGUAGAUAUUCGCAAGAACACCCGUGGCGAAGGCGGCUCUCUGGGACGGUACUGACGCUGAGACGCGAAAGCGUGGGGAGCGAACAGG
rnacentral:rRNA from 1 species